CUGCUGAUAAAGAUGACAGCUCAGAAGACCUUUCCGUGCCAAGCAGCCCACAUACAGAAGCGAUCCAGCACAGCUCUGUCAGUACGUCCAAUGGAGUCAGUUCAACAUCAAAAACAGAAGCUGGAGCCACUUCAGUCCUCACCCAGAUGGCGGACCAGAGCACCGAGCCUGCACUUUCACAGAUUGUCAUGGCUCCUUCCUCCCAGGCACAGCCCUCAGGAAGUUGAUUAAAACCUGCAGUGCAACAGGUUUAGAUACUGAUUAGUGACUUCAAAGGGAAAUCAAGGAAAGACCAGUUUGCAUUUAUGCGAAAUCUGUGGUUGUAAUUUUUUUUUUUACUUGAAGUUAAAUUUGUCUCUAGAGUUGGUAUAGCAGCAGUUGGUGAUCAGACUGAAUAUGUUUUUAGUCUCUGGAAGACUGAUUUUGCUUUUUUUUAUACAUAUUGUUAAGAUUUAUUAAUUUUCUUGUGCUCAAUGUGUAAAUUGUAUAAUUCAUUGUGGUUUAUUUCACUUUGAUUUAGUGGUAUUUUAAUAAAUGGGGGUGUUACUGAAUCACUCUUCCCACUUCCAUUUCUUUGCCCACCCCUUCACCCUGAGCUGUGAUGGUAGUCUUGUUAUCAUUUAUACCAAAGUUCUGCAGAAUCCCUACUGUCUUUGUAAUAUGAACAAAGUUGUAAGGCACUAGGGAAGAGAAAGACAGAAAGUUCCUUUUAGUCUUUUUGCCUUUUAUUUUGCACAUUAUGCAAAAGGAAGAAUAUUAGAAACACUUUUUUUUAAGUGAGUGAAAGUAUGGUAAGACAUUUAGUGCUUUGAGCACAUUCUUAGACUAAUCAAGGUCAUUCAUCGCCCUGCAAUGUUUUUAAGAUUAAGUAAACAAAAAUUUUGGAAUCUUGAGCAUUUCAAAAAUGACUUGAUUUUUUAAGUCUUAAAUUCAGUAUUUUAAACCUGUGUUCUUGAGGCUGAAAACUAUGAAAUUAUAUAAUGUAUGAUACAGGGUUAUCAGACUAGUAAUUUUUUAAAUUCGCUCUUGUCAUUUGGGAUUUGUUUUGUCUGGGAUUUUGUUGUUGUGUGUGAUUUUUGUUUUGUUUUGCAGAUUUCAGGUAACGAAGUGAGGAGCUUAUGCAUAAUGAAGUGUGAUGUGAUUGCCAGAAAAGCCUAAAAUUAUGACUUAGAAAUGUUAAGACUGUUUCCCCCACUGUCAUACUUGUACUUGCGAGCUAACUUGUACUUAUUCUUGUGAAAGCACUGUCAUCUUUUAGUAGCCAAUUUUGAUAAUGUUUCUCGUGGAAAAAAAUCAGUAUCUAUCUUUAGAACAAUGUAAUUAUAAUGUGGGAAUGUGAGUGAGAGAAUGAGUGUGUGUGUGUGUAUGUGUGUGUGUGUGAGCAUCUUCCACUAGUUUAUGCCAGCGAUAUUGCUUGAAUGUUUAACGAUGCCUUCAGUGUGAUGCUGGCAAUAGAUGACUGCAGUUUCAGAUGCCAUUACUGUGCAGGCUUGGAUAACUAACAUUCCAUGAUGUAGCUUGUUCUGAUGAGAUGAUUGUAGUUACACUUUGCUCAUUAUCCAGUCAUCUGUGGAAUACUGAGUUUUCUAAUGUGCCAUUAUCUAUUUUUAUUCUGCAGUUAUGUUAAAAAUACAGUACAAUAUUUUAAAUAGACUAAAUUGUUAAACAUAAAAAUAAAAAAAAGUAGUAGAUGUGUGUAAGAAAACUUUGUAAAAUAGUUAUGAGUCCUACCCAGUAGCAACUUCUGGCGUUCAAGCAGGAUUCCAUUCUGUAAAUACCUGUAUGUGUUUAUAAUAAGUUGUGUAGUCUGUCCUGCAUCCAUACUGCAUUAUUGCUAUGGUGUUGGUGUCAUCUCUUAAAGAGAUCGACAUUUCCAAAGCCUGUAUGGAAUGCCCUUGAGAGGGGAAUACCCAUCCCACAUGCCUAAGUUCCAAACUGGGAAACAUGCAAAUCAUCUAAAUGACAUUUCAGGACUUUUAAGUAUGAAGGUAAUAGGAAUUUUGUUACUGGGCUUAUUAAAAAUGAGAGCAUUUUGGUUGCCAAUCCUAUUUGUAUCUAUUACUUCACCUGAUCCCAUAUUUAAUCAGUUUUAAUCACAAUUUUGUCAUACUUAUGCUAAGGAGUUGAUCUCAAAGGCACAAACAUGAAUUCUCCAUGCAAGCUUUUUUUGUAGUUGGUCAAAGCCUCCACGUCUCACCCUCUGCACCCUCUCGACAUUUUUCUUUCAUCUUGCGAUUUGUGCAAGCUUCGGUUCUUUGGUAACAGAUUCUUGCAACUGUAAAGUAGAAGUACAUAGAUGUGAGAAGUCAUGUUAAUGACUUUACCACGGCUGACAGAGCUCUCGUUGUAAAUCAGUCUGUACUCAGCAAAUAAAAAUCAUUAUUAGUUGUAUAAACACACAAAAAAAUUCCAUUUUGAACUCCAGGAUGUCACACUACUUCUGUACUUAGCAUUUGAGUCCUUAUAUUUGCAAUGUUACACAAACUGUACUAUUUUCUUUUAUGUACAGUUUGCAUGACUAAACCAUCAGAGAAUAAAUUCUAUCUUUAAAUUAUGUUUAUAA
rnacentral:lncRNA from 1 species